rnacentral:rRNA from 1 species
GGAAUUGACGGGGGCCCGCACAAGCGGUGGAGCAUGUGGUUUAAUUCGACGCAACGCGAAGAACCUUACCAGGGCUUGACAUCCCCUGACCGCGUAUGAAAGUACGUUUUCACCCUCGGGUGACAGGGAGACAGGUGGUGCAUGGUUGUCGUCAGCUCGUGUCGUGAGAUGUUGGGUUAAGUCCCGCAACGAGCGCAACCCCUACGUUUAGUUGCUAACAGGUGAAGCUGAGCACUCUAGACGAACUGCCGUUGACAAAACGGAGGAAGGUGGGGAUGACGUCAAAUCAUCAUGCCCCUUAUGUUCUGGGCUACACACGUGCUACAAUGGCCGGUACAGACGGAGGCGAAGCCGCGAGGCGGAGCAAAUCCGAAAAAGCCGGUCUCAGUUCGGAUUGCAGGCUGCAAUUCGCCUGCAUGAAGUCGGAAUCGCUAGUAAUCGCAGGUCAGCAUACUGCGGUGAAUACGUUCCCGGGCCUU